rnacentral:rRNA from 1 species
GCCCAGACUCCUACGGGAGGCAGCAGUGAGGAAUAUUGGUCAAUGGGCGGAAGCCUGAACCAGCCAAGUCGCGUGAGGGAUUAAGGCCCUAUGGGUCGUAAACCUCUUUUGUCAGGGAGCAAUGGCGUCCACGUGUGGGCGUAUGGAGAGUACCUGAAGAAAAAGCAUCGGCUAACUCCGUGCCAGCAGCCGCGGUAAUACGGAGGAUGCGAGCGUUAUCCGGAUUUAUUGGGUUUAAAGGGUGCGUAGGCGGGACCUUAAGUCAGCGGUAAAAUUGCGGUGCUCAACGCCGUAGAGCCGUUGAAACUGGGUGCCUUGAGUGGGCGAGAAGUACGCGGAAUGCGUGGUGUAGCGGUGAAAUGCAUAGAUAUCACGCAGAACUCCGAUUGCGAAGGCAGCGUACCGGCGCCCAACUGACGCUGAAGCACGAAGGCGUGGGUAUCGAACAGGAUUAGAUACCCCCGUAA